AACGAACGCUGGCGGCAUGCCUAACACAUGCAAGUCGAACGAGACCUUCGGGUCUAGUGGCGCACGGGUGCGUAACGCGUGGGAACCUGCCCUUAGGUUCGGAAUAACUCCCCGAAAGGGGUGCUAAUACCGGAUAAUGUCUUCGGACCAAAGAUUUAUCGCCUUUGGAUGGGCCCGCGUUGGAUUAGCUAGUUGGUAGGGUAAAAGCCUACCAAGGCGACGAUCCAUAGCUGGUCUGAGAGGAUGAUCAGCCACACUGGGACUGAGACACGGCCCAGACUCCUACGGGAGGCAGCAGUGGGGAAUAUUGGACAAUGGGCGAAAGCCUGAUCCAGCAAUGCCGCGUGAUUGAUGAAGGCCUUAGGGUUGUAAAGCUCUUUUACCCGGGAUGAUAAUGACAGUACCGGGAGAAUAAGCUCCGGCUAACUCCG
rnacentral:rRNA from 1 species